ensembl:lncRNA
ACUUUUGAAAACUUUUUAUUCUUCCUGAGACGUUUUCCACAAGUGACCAGAACUAGCUGGGACCAUUAAGACCUGUAGAGACGAGGGUUGCUAUAGAACAGAUAAAGACAAACAUAGUAAGACUAACACAAAUAAGCCCAGGAAGAUGGAGGGGAGAGGGGCCAAGUCAGGUGGGCACAGCUGCUUUCCUUUCCUCUAAAUAGGAAAGGAAACAGACAGAAUGUACUCAUGACCACUGUCUUAAGAGCAGCAAAGGUAACAGAGAGACUGCAGAAUCCUCCACAGAGCAGGAUGUAGUCACCAUCCCCUUCAUCUUGUUUUUUUUGUUGUUGUGGUUGCUUCCCUCAAGCCUCAAUUUUGUCCCUAGAAAACAUCACACAGAGAAAUUUUUGGCCAUACCUCUCCUCCAAAGAUGAUAACGCCUACUCUGGCUUUUAAAAAUUAAUUCCAAGUGUCCUUUGGCUAAAAAACGAACAUGUUGCAUGCAUUUCCUCUGCAACCAUCACUGUCCUGCCCCACCCCCACCCUCAUUCAAGGAGAGCUUUGGAAUGAGAACAUUUGAUUAGGGUAAGAGUGUGAUGAAAUAGGCUGGUCUUUCCUAUCACAGCUACUGCAAUUGGAAUAAAGAUUUAAGUUCAAGAAACACUAACCAGAACAUUCCGUGCUGAGAUGCUUUGUCAGAUAAAGGGAGUCCUCCCACUAGCCGGUGUCUGUGGGUUUUGCAGGGUUCCUAUUCCAUGGCCUCAGAAGUCCCAGGCCCCUCUUGUGAAGAGAUAGGUUCUAAAGGUCUUUCUCCUAGGGGCACACAGAGCUGCUAAGUCCUGGAUGUGAAGACAGUGCUGGCGAGGGAGACAUUCUGGAAGCUUUUAGGCAGAGCAGCUGUGCCUCUGAGUGGCUACACCAGUAAAGCCACUUGUAGAGAGCCAUGCCCCAGUACUGUCAGACUCUUUGGGAUAUCUGAAAAACGCCGUUGGCUCCCUGGCCUGCUAACAGGGCUAACGUGUCACCUGAAUCUCUAAUGGAGACCCAUUGAGGGCACCCAAUUUCCAGGAAAGAAGUUCUACAGUUACUGGUAGAAACAGCCUCCCUGCCACCACAGCACCAUUGCUCCCCCAAAGGCAAACUGUGCUCUCGGUGAACACUGCAGUCACAAUGUGGAAGCCAGUGUUUUCACACAGCACAAGGAGCUAUCAGUUUGGCUGGUCAGAGUGUAAGCAGUCCAAACCCACCUCAGGCCAGGGCCUUUCCACAGCUUGAACUCUUCCCCUGUGUGGGGGGAAGUUCCAGCUAGCAGUCUAUCUUGGCUUCCCCGAGAGGUCACUGCACGGCCAGGGUCCCAACCCCUUGAGCAUAAGGAAAAGGCAGCUCCAAAUAUUCCAUUGUGUUCAUAGAGAAGCCCAUUCCAUGCUUUUUCAUCCGUUUCUUCCUAAGAUUUUUCUACCUUGGUUUCCCUCUUCUCUUUGGCACCUUCUUUCAUCUGAAGACAUCCUCCAACCUGUCACAGAAAACUAGCACUAACCCACUGUCUCCUCUGCUCGCCCAGUCCACCCUCUCUCUCCAAGAUCCUUUUUUUUUUUGCCACCUCUCCUGGUUCCAGGAGCAGACCGACAGCACUGGUGUUCUGAUUAUGGUUAGAGCCCCCGUUUGUCCCUUGGACUUCCCCACCGCUAGUCAGACCAUGAGCUUCUCCCACUCCUAACAGAAGGCAGAGAUAGUCACGGGUCUUCAGCACCACCAAAUGGCUAGGCCAGUUCCUGUGGACCACAGGCGUGUGCCCAAAAUUUUAAGCCCUGUGGGGGACACCUGCCUCAGACCUGGAGUUGAGGAUAGAGGGCAGGUCCUGCCACAUCUGGGAUGCCUGGCCUAUAUGCUGGUGAGAAAAAAAUAAACAAGAAAAGAAGAACCAAGGGGAAGCCCAGGUUAUCUGGAACACAGAGACCUGUCCUCAGUGUUGACCUCAUGGUCUUCCUACUAAAGGCAGGAACAGAACAGUUGCAGGCACUGGGCCACACAGAGCCAAAGUCAUCAGCUGCCCAUGGUGGAGAGGAAGCAGCCCUCUGUAAUGGGACAAGUUCGGGGAUGCUGACAGCAGAGCUGAGUCCUGAGGCUGGCUCUCUCAGUCCUCUCUGCAAAUGCUGGCAAAGCACAGCUCCUUUUACACUGGGCGGCUGUGAAAAUAAUCGCAGGAUUGUGAGCAUGAAGUAAAGCCAUGAAACCGGUUAAGUCCUGGGCAAGGGUCAGAAGCCACAGCUAUGAGCAACCCUGUGCUGACUUAAGAAAGGAACAGCCAUGCUAGGGCUCACUGGAUGUUUGUUUACUGGUGCAUUACAGACGGGAUAGAGAAGCCCUCUUCUCAGUGGGCAUCAUGGAAUACAGAUGUGUACAGCUGUGCCCAGAAGGGGAGGAGCAGAAUGGCAGUGCCCUGGGCAGAUCCUGCCUGAACCUGGGUUCAUGGGGAUCAUGUAGGUUCCAGAAGUUCCAGAGUAGUGAUGAAGAAACAGACUUGGACAUCACAUGGAGAGCUUGGACUGGGUUAUCUUAAGCAAGGUUCUUUUGUCAAAUGUACUGAGUGUGUGGGGGGGGGCGUGUAUUUUAGCAUACAUGCCAUGUAACAUGUAUGGAGGGCAGAAGACAACCUCAUGGAGGGGUUCUCACAGGAAUCAAACUCAGGUUGCCAAGCUUGCAAGCUGAGCCGUCUUGUCAGCCUUUCCACACAGUUCUUAACAACCAUCUAGGAGUUAAGUUCUCAGAAAGUCUAGCAAUAACUAAGAUUAUAUGUGUGUGUGUGUACAUAUAUGUGUACAUGUAUAUAUGUGUAUGUAUGUACCUAGCAUUUAAGAAAUAUGUAACAAAAUUCUAGUUUUGAAAACUAGAGUCAAUUGCACACUAGAAGGCCCUUAGAAUGUGGUGGGAUGGUUUUCCAUGAGGCGAGUAAGCUCAUUGGCUACUAGUGUUGUUAUAACUAUCCGAUCGGUUCCUUCCGACUAGUAAUAGCGAGUGUACUAAUGUGCCUAUUAGCACCUACUGAGACCUUACUCACUGUCUACCAGGCACAGGGCUCAACACCUUGUACGGAUUAGUUAUGAGCUAGCCUCCAGGCUCUGAAGCUAAUAUAACCACCUGAUGAAGCCAGGAAGGCUUGCAUGCAGCUCUGCCUUCUCUGGGAUGUUUACUCCUCAAGUUUGGCACAUUUAUCAACCGCUGGCUCUGAGAAUUUCCACGUGUCAAGCAUGUGGAGUGUGUUUUGCUGCAUUUCACUUGGAUUGGUGAAUAAAAAUGCUCUGACCUCUCCAGAGUUCUUCUGGGUUUGCGGAGGAGGCUCAGGGGGCCCAGGGGCCAAAGUUGGCCAGAAUUAACCACAGCAAUGAACUGAGGAGAUUCCUCUAACCCAGGCCUGCUUCCUGGUGAGGGGUGCAUUCCAGCUAUGUCUCUUCCACAUCACGGCCCAAUCUUCCAGACAGCAGGCAAGUGUCUGCUUAAGCAGGAUCUCAGGGCAGGUAAGGCAUAACUUAGUUCUUGCCUUUUUCUUCACAGCCACCAGUCCUAGCAUGUCUCCUCUCCCUGCACACCCCCUAUGUCAUCAAUAAAUGGAAUACUACUCCAAGUGACAUUUCCUGGGUACACAGCAUGGGAGACAACUGAAUGGAUUUCAGACGGAGAUGUUAUGAGGAUUGUGACCAGAGUGUCACAGCCCAAGCCUGGCCUCACCACUAGCUUGGUUGAAUGGUGCUGGCAAGCUCCUUAUCGCUCUAAAUGUCACUUCUCUUAAUGCAAAACAAGGGUGGUAAUGGAAAUUCUGUUGCUAUCUUAUAAAGUCCUUAGUACAGCAGCAAUUUUGCAUAUAACACAGAUAAUACAUGUACAUAUGUAAAUACAAUAUGUAAAGACAUAUUCAUACAUAAAACUGUAUGUGUAAAUAUGUGAGUCUGCAUGCAUGUAUAAAUAACUCUUGAGAGCUAAGAAGAAGCCAGAAAGUAUAUGUUCUACCCUCCCAUACCUCUGCAAACUUACUUAAAAACACAGAGUAACACAUGGAUCAGUCAAAUAUCCAUUCCAAAUGAUGAGCUCAGUCCUAAGAGGCAAUGGUGUGGAAGAGAUAAGCCUGGGAGAUGUCUCUGAGGAAAAUCUAUUGGUCUGUGUUUGGAAAAUGAAGUUGAGGGCAAUGGUCUCCUGGGCUAGGACUUGGUUCAGAAUGAAAAAAAAAAAAGCAAAACCCAGCCUAGAAACAGCCAACCCUGGAUAGGCAAGAAGGAGCUAUCUAUUCUUAUGCCUCCUUCUUAGUUACACCAGGCAAAGGAACCGGCUCCCCAUGGAAAUACAGACCUUGAAAAAUUUUAAGAAAUAACCUGAAAGCCUGUGGCUGGACACAGUGGAUGUCCCUGGGAAGUUUCCACAGAAUCUUAUCUGUGGUCAGAUCCAAUACCAAAGAGAUGGUCAAGUUUCCUAGAGACAGGGCCUCCUGUGGCUGUCAGCUGGUUCUCCUCCAUCCUCAGAAUGAAAGAAAGAAAACAAAGGCUCUCAGAGUAGGAGCCACACACCUCGGGCUCCCGGACAGACAUACGUUGGAGGCUCACUCUGCACCCGGGCUGACAUUUGGUGCCACAGCGAAGCAGUCUCCGGCCUGGCGGCCUCUCCCCACUUUAUCUCUCCCUCACCACUCCUUUCACUUUGACAUAAUGAAAGUGCAGCUUGCACACUGCCUCAAGAUUGCAUAUGAUAAUUGGAGACAUGUGUCCGAGCUGGCAGCCCUUCAAAGGGUUUUGGAACUCUGACUUGGGCUGUCCUCUGAUUGCAAUAGCAAUUCCCCGAGCUAGCUCUCCAGCUUCACAUUCCUGCAGCUGCACCUUAGCAUUAACUCUUGCCAGUUGGAGGCUGCUGUGCACUGAUCCAGCUCCUGAAGCCUCGAGGUGGCUGGCCAUUCUGUCUCUCCAAGUACAAAGCGCACCUCUGGAUUUGGCGCCUGGGCACUGACUUUCCAGACAGCCGUCAUGGGAGCCAGCAGGUUCGUUGGCCCUUUUGCAGAAAUCACACAUUAGCAGGUCAGCUCUCAUGAUGAGUUCUUUGGACACCGCCUGAACUCUCGGGGGAUGUGGUGCUGGAUCUGCUGUGACCCAGCAGGGUAUUUUGUUUUGCUUUGAUUUGUGCUACAGAAAACACCCAAGCAUACUUAUUACACCAAGAGAUUCCUGGGGGAGAUGCAGAAUCAAAGGUGACUCUCUAUGAUCAUAAACUCAGGAUAUAUGACUAGUGGGAUUUCUGGGGGACCCCAUUCAGUUCAACAAAGAAUGAGUACAUAUCUUGGAGCUCUGAGAUGUCUGGGUAGGUCUGGAACAGAUGAAGGAGGAAGAUGGGCCCCUGUCUUUUACAGUCUCAGAGAAGGCUGACUGGAGAAUUCAAACCCCUUUUAGAGUCUAGAUAUACCUGCAUACCACAUAACCAUAUACCCACAGCUCGUGGAGACAGCUUCAAGUAUUUCUCUCCCUUCUGACCUGCUCUCACUCCCAACCCUACUGAGGUUCAGUCCCUCAACCAACCCUGACUGAUCCUUGACCUUGCCUCGGGUUCUCUGAGAUGUACUUCUCAAGAUUUUAUGCUCGCCAAAAGCACCCAGAGGUCUAAUGUGUUAAGUGGGGACUGGGAGUUGAGCUUCUACAUCCUAAACACUCCAGAUGAUGCCAGGGCUGUUGUUCUAGAGCCCAUACUUUGAAUAACCAGGCUUGGGACCCCAGCUGGCCUCCCAGUGGGCUGGUCCUCAGUUGCCACCUAGGAACUUGGGUGAGGUUCAUUUUCCUUGGUUCUCAGAGUCUAAGUUGGACCUAGGUAGCAGUCCUGGGAAUCUCAUCUUAGAUCUCCUGGCCCAUGUCCUCCAAGGUCAGCUCUGUUGUCCUUCCUGGAAAGAUAGCAAUCAGAAAGGGGCCUGUCUGACCAAUACUAUACCAGGAAGAAUGUAGUGGUAAGAGUGACAACCAACUUUCCCCAAAGUAGGAACUCAUGACAAAGAGAAACUGGAGGUAGAAGCAGGCUGUAGGGAACAGCGUGGGUCGGAAGAAACAACCUGCUGCAUAGCACCAAACACGGUGUACUUGAAGGGAACAAAAGACUUGGCCACAAACAGAAUGUCACCGUGGAAACAUGGUGCGGGCUCUCUAUCUUCACACGAUUCUGAACAAGUCCCUCUCUUCAGUUUAUCUUGGAGAUAAUGGGUGAUGAGAUGUCACCCUUUCCAGAUCACUGUUGAACCAUCCAUCCUACAGCUUCCCAGAGGGAUUGUUUGCCCUGAGCCCGGGAAAGUUUAUGUAACUUUUUCUACAGACAUCAGUAAUAGUGGUAAAAAUGAAAAAAGCCACAUUUCCAUCUGUGAAACAAGUAGUUUCCAGUGCUCUGAAAAAGCCUGUCCUCUGAAGCUGUAAGCAGAAGAAUUCCAUAGCCAGGCCAUAUCUAGAGUCACUUGGAACUUUCAGAAGCCCCACACCAGGCCUCCUGAUGGCCAUAUGUGGUGUUUCCACUUCAGGCUCUUCCCUCAAAGGGCAAUAUACAGUUUAUUUACAGUCAGUCAUAUUUGAAGAAUGACAUUUAAAAAUAACCCUUUUCUCUUUAGUUGGCUCCUUUCUGGUUUCAUAAUAGUCCCUGCUAUAAUCACAAUCUUUCUUUGAUCCAGUACAUAAAAAUAUCACUAUUUUGGGUAAGAGAUCAUGGACACAAUAAAAAUGAGCCUUAUGACUACCCUAAGAGGAGAUUUGCUGAAAAAAAAAAAUACUGCAAAGAAUUCAAACCACCCAAAGUUUAUCAGACCAGAUGGUCAGUGAGUACUCGGCAUUAAUAGUUUCUCAUAACAUUAGAAUCAACAUAAACACGCCUAUGUGUGCCAGAAGUCGUGCAUUAAAAUCAUCCAGAAUCUCUGUGGUUUACAUGCAGGUAAAUGGUGCCAUGGACUGUAAGCCUCAGGUAAAUAUACAUUUCUGGGAAAAUGUGUUGUUUCAGAGACUGGAGUUUCACUGCCGUUGCUGCUGUUGUUUUAAAUUUUACAAAGUGGUUCUACCCAGAGCAAGAGCCAGAGGACAAAAAUGUGGGUAAAAGUCCCUCCCAGUCACUUACACCAGCAGUCUUGGAGUCAGCACAGACAAGCAGGCCAGCUGGAAAAGCCAUGAGCUUGCCGCUAAUCUUCUUCUGGGCUUACCUUCACUUGGGUCAUCUUCCUGACUUUGCUCCACGUGUUCCAGGAAGCCUUCCCUCCAUGUCUUGUUAGCCAGGAUUGUGCUGAGCAAUCGCAGGCAUGAGAUUCAUGGAAGGAAAGAGUGAUGAAAGAACAGACAGCCUUGAGCAAGAGGGCCCAACAUACAUCAAAGGACUUGGAUGACUCGUGAAAACAGAAAGUGAAACCCCAUUCAUUGAGAGAUUUAGUAGACAUCCACUUUAAUCGUGGCUUUAUUGGGUUGUGGUUUAUAUUGGGAAAUGCUUAAGCAUCCAUGAAAGCAUAAGGAAGAAGACAG